UAGCGCAGCGGGUGGCAAAUGGCAGCAUAGCGGUCGUAGGCCAUGAAAGCCAAAAGAAUACAUUCUGUGGAGCCCAGAGCAAGGAAGAUGUAGAGCUGGGCCACGCAGGCACCGUAACUGAUGGUCUUGCUUUUCCUCCAGAAGUUCACCAGCAUGUGAGGGCCCACACUGGUGGUGAAGCAAAGAUCAAGGACAGAGAGAUUGGUGAGGAAGAAAUACAUGGGGGUGUGGAGGUGGGGGUCCAGCCACGACACCACAAUGAUGGUCGUGUUGCCUAGCAGGGUCAUUGUGUAGCAGAUCAGGACAAGACCAAAGAGAAACAUCUCCAAGUGUGGGCGGUCAGCCA
rnacentral:lncRNA from 1 species